rnacentral:tRNA from 1 species
GAGGUAAUAGCCCAGGGGUAGAGCGCGUGCUUAGCAUGCACAAGAUCCUGGGCUCUAUCCCCAGUACCUCC